rnacentral:rRNA from 1 species
GUGUCAGCCGCCGCGGUAAUACGGGGGGAGCAAGCGUUGUUCGGAUUUACUGGGCGUAAAGGGCGCGUAGGCGGCCAGCACAAGUCAGUUGUGAAAUCUCCGAGCUUAACUCGGAAAGGUCAACUGAUACUGUGCGGCUAGAGUGCGGAAGGGGCAACUGGAAUUCUUGGUGUAGCGGUGAAAUGCGUAGAUAUCAAGAGGAACACCUGCGGCGAAGGCGGGUUGCUGGGCCGACACUGACGCUGAGGCGCGAAAGCUAGGGGAGCGAACGGGAUUAGAUACCCGGGUAGUCC